rnacentral:misc_RNA from 1 species
UUGAGAAACGUUGAAAUGUCGCCUGAGGAAGUUGCAUUAGGUGAAGAGAAGAAGGCACUUGUGGUGUCUACUGUCAAUACUCUAUCGCCCAAAUCGCAUUCUGUUAGUGCUUCUUCUGUGCUUCGUCGCCAUGAGCAGUUGUUGCAUUCGAAUUUAUCACUGAACGCUUCUUGUUCAUCUGAUGCCUCCACGGAUUCAUUCCAUAGCCGAGCAUCUACAGGGAGGUUGACACGGUC